rnacentral:lncRNA from 1 species
GAUAAGAGACUUAAGUAAGAUCAGAUAUAUCGAUGUGACAAGUUGGGGCAUCUAAUCAGAGAUUGUCCUCAACUCAGGGAUCGGAUGAGGGCUAUUGCAGUGACGACCAAUAGUGAGUUAGAGGAUGAUGUCCUAAAGAUAUUUGAUGAGGUAUCUAGUUCUUUUCAGUAUGGAUUUUAAAUUAUGUAUGCACUUAUUAUGU